CUGUGCUGCAUUCAGAUGAACUAGACUGCUUCAUUUUCUAGAAAAAAAGAGCCCCAACAAAAAGUUACUUGCUUCAUUUUCAGAAGUAAAUAUGAUAUAUUGGAAGAAUAUUAUCAAAGUCAAAAGAUUUCAAGUCACAUUACAUUGUGUGGUCAAGUGAUAAUAAAAAAAUCACUCUGGUGGUCAGGACAAGACUACAUAUCAAUAACAUCAGAAUCUCUGGGUGUGGAUUUGAGGCAUGAGGACACCAUUAACAAUUCCCCAGAGAAUUCGGAACACGUUCAUGUAAGCAUGGAAGAAGUCACUCAUGUGCCAGCGGGGGAGCUGACAGUCUUCGUCUAUGUGGCAGACACAGUCUUUGUAACUUUGACCAAACAGAUUCAUGCCGAACACAGCAGAGAAGUAAACGAAUAAGAAGAGCAACAGGACCAAGUCUUUCAGGGCCAUCAAGGUGUUACCAAGGAUACGUACCAAAUUCUCAAAUGGUGGCCCAUAUUUCCCCAGUUUAAUAAAUCUCAACUAACAAACAAAUGCAAAUUAAAAGAAAAGAGAAACAACAACAAAAGGUCAGUGUUGAUUAUAAUGCAAACUUGCAUACUCAGUUUCACCAGAAUUAUGUAGUCAUGUAUAUAUAGCCUUUAAAUUCAUACCACUUUCAACAUUAUAAUGAAAGACAAGUGACUAUUUUGCAUUCAUAAUUCAUCUUACACAUUUUGUAAUUUUAUGCACUAAAUCUAUUCAUAUGUUUUUAACCUACUUGUUAAAUCCCACUCAAGAUUGCACUUGUUAUUGUGAUAUGUUUGGAUUUUAAUAUGUGGUAGGGUAAAUAUACACUCUUCAUUCUUGUUUUUCUUUAUAACACAUUGGGUAUUCAUAAUAUAUUAAAUUUCUCCCACAUUUAUACACACAGAAAAUAUUAAAUACUAAUUUCAUGAUGGAAUUAAUUUCACAGAGGAUCCUAAUAUUUCCCUUUAGAAUGUUUCAAUAAUGUCAUUUCACGUUCAAGAAAGUGAGAUAUACUGUGAUAAAAUAAAAACUAGUUCUUAAAUUCUACUUACCGGGAACAAAAUAAAAACAGUUAUCUCUUCAAUACCUGCUAGAAAGAUUUCUGUUAAUCCAAAAAAGACAAUUAUACUGUCCAAAAUAUUCCAUGUUACUUGGAAAUACCCAUAUGGAUGCAUAGCGAUGAUCUUCAAAAUCAUUUCUAUUGUAUAGAUUCCAAUAAAAACCUAAAAGGGAA